rnacentral:rRNA from 1 species
GCAGUCUGAUGGAGCACGCCGCGUGAGUGAAGAAGGUUUUCGGAUCGUAAAGCUCUGUUAUUGGUGAAGAAAGAUAGAGGUAGUAACUGGCCUUUAUUUGACGGUAAUCAACCAGAAAGUCACGGCUAACUACGUGCCAGCAGCCGCGGUAAUACGUAGGUGGCAAGCGUUGUCCGGAUUUAUUGGGCGUAAAGCGAGUGCAGGCGGUUCAAUAAGUCUAAUGUGAAAGCCUUCGGCUUAACCGGAGAAUUGCAUCGGAAACUGUUGAACUUGAGUGCAGAAGAGGAGAGUGGAACUCCAUGUGUAGCGGUGAAAUC